rnacentral:rRNA from 1 species
GACGAACGCUGGCGGCGUGCUUAACACAUGUAAGUCGAACGGAAAGGCCCUGCUUUUGUGGGGUGCUCGAGCGGCGAACGGGUGAGUAACACGUGAGUAACCUGCCCUUGACUUUGGGAUAACUUCAGGAAACUGGGGCUAAUACCGGAUAGGAGCUCCUGCUGCAUGGUGGGGGUUGGAAAGUUUCGGCGGUUGGGGAUGGACUCGCGGCUUAUCAGCUUGUUGGUGGGGUAGUGGCUUACCAAGGCUUUGACGGGUAGCCGGCCUGAGAGGGUGACCGGCCACAAUAGGACUAAGGUACGUCCCAGUGUCCUACGGGAGGCAGCGGUGGGGAGUAUUGCACAGUGAUCGGGAGCCUGAUACGGCAGCGCCGCGUGCGUGAUGACGGCCUUCGAGUUAUAAACCGCUUUCGCCUGUGACGAGGCGUGAGUGACGGUAAUGGGUAAAGAAGCACCGGCUAACUACGUG